GGCAUCGUGGCCGAGUGGUCUAAGGCGGGGGACUCAAGCUUUCACUUCCACAUUUUCAUGUGGCUUCCCCUCCUCUCUGAGGGCGCAGGUUCGAACCCUGUCGAUGCUA
rnacentral:tRNA from 1 species